UGGAUUUAAAGUUCAUCCGAUGGGACUCAAUAAUCACAUCAUAUGCAUGCCGUAAUGCGAUCAUUCAAGUGACCAGCUUGUGUUGUCAGAACAUCUCUUGGGCGGCUAUAACGUCAGCAGAACAGUACUCCACUGUGUCGGUACAUGCAACAUUCGAUCUUUUCGUUGCGUUUGGUUUGCAGGAGGAGCAGAAUUAGCUUCCCAAAUGGCAUCAACAAGCUUCGUCGAGAUAGAUUCGAUCCAAAACUCUUCUUUCCCUCGACUACUGAAGUGAAAGAAGAACGAGAUUUAGAGUGGUCAAAUCUAUGAGACGCGAGAGAAGGAAGAAAAGAAGAAAUCCACAUUUCACGUUCUUAGAUUGCAUGUCAAUCUAUCAGAUACGUUGCACCUCUAAAAGACGCCGCAUUGAAUGCCACCAUUCACACCUCGUGUCCCCCCAUGACUGGAUGCAUGCACCGAGAGCGCUCUC
rnacentral:lncRNA from 1 species